ACAAUAGAAGCAACCUCAAGAUUAAGAGGAAUCGUGAAGCAUACAAAACAAAUAGUGACCUGGCAACUCAUCCUUUUUAAACCUACCUGCCCUAUAAAUACUUCGAGGACGAGCUUAGGCGAGUCAGUGAAGGAGUAAGAGAAGGAACAUACGCACGAUGAACAAGCAGCUUUUCCUACUCUUUUUGGUAUUGUCAUCCACACUGCUGGUGCAGGAGGCGCGAGCGGGACCUCUGCCAAGAGAGUGCGAGCACCCCACCCCCGACUGCCCGACGGUGAGGCGCGCGAGGGCAGGUAAGUGGAGAGGGAGACAAGGUUUGUGAUGUUAAGUAUAUCCUUUUUUUGUAUUGAGCAGUAUUUGAAUAUGUGGAUGUGUGCGUUUAUACACACGCGAACGGAGGAAUACAUAUAUACACGCACGUACAUACGCAUACGCACACGAACAUGCAUGCACACACACACACACACACACACACACACACACACACACACACACACACACACACACACACACACACACACACACACUCAUUAAAGUAUUCUAAUAUAUAUCCAUCUAUUUAUUCAGAAAUUCCUUCAGUAGUGGCUGCAAAACCAAUAAACAAUAUUUGUUUUUACUCUGCGAUAUCCAAUUUCAUCCUCUGAAAUGCUAAAAGCCCUUAAAAGCGUAAAGAAAACUCGGUGAUCUUUCAUGACUCCUCCACAGCCCCAAUAGAUUAUAUAAUAGAUGGACAGACAUACAUGGAUAGACAUCAAAUAAACACAGAUGAAUAGAUAGACAGAAAUCAAAUAAACACAGAUGAAUAGAUAGACAGAAAUCAAAUAGACACAGCUAGAAAAAAAUAUAUAGAAAGUUAGAGAGAUAGAUAGAUGGAUAAAGAUAGAUAUAUUGAUAGACGAACAUA